rnacentral:rRNA from 1 species
GUCCUGGCCCUAAACGGUGCACGUUUGCUGUAAGAGGAAUCGACCCCUUUUGUGGCGAAGCUAACGCGUUAAACGUGCCGCCUGGGAAGUACGGCCGCAAGGUUAAAACUCAAAGAAAUUGACGGGGGCCUGCACAAGCGGUGGAGUAUGUGGCUCAAUUCGAUGCAACGCGAAGAACCUUACCUGGCCUUGACAUGCAUGUAGUAUAACCCUGAAAGGGGGACGAGGUAGCAAUACCAGCAUGCACAGGUGCUGCAUGGCUGUCGU